rnacentral:rRNA from 1 species
GACGAACGCUGGCGGCGUGCUUAACACAUGCAAGUCGAGCGGAGCGGCGAACGGGUGAGUAACGCGUGAGUAACUGCCCCCCUCUCUGGGAUAACAGCUGGAAACGGCUGCUAAUACCGGCUAGUGGGGGAUGACUCGCGUCCAAUCAGCUUGUUGGUGGGGUAGUGGCCUACCAAGGCGACGACGGGUAGCCGGCCUGAGAGGGCGAACGGCCACACUGGGCUGAGAGACGGCGCAAACGGCUACGGGAGGCAGCAGUGGGGAAUAUUGCACAAUAGGGGAAAGCCUGAUGCAGAGCCGCCGCGUGCGGAAUGACGGGCUUCGGGGUGUAAACCGCUUUCAGCCAUGACGCGGUAGUGGCAGAAGAAGCAACGGCUAACUACGUGCCAGCAGCCGCGGUAAUAC